rnacentral:rRNA from 1 species
UACGUAGGCAGCGAGCGUUGUUCGGAAUUACUGGGCGUAAAGAGUGUGUAGGCGGUGCUCUAAGUUCGGUGUGAAAUCUCCUGGCUCAACUGGGAGGGUGCGCCGGAAACUGGAGUGCUUGAGCGUGGGGAGAGGAAAAGCGGAAUUCCUGGUGUAGCGGUGAAAAUGCGUAGAUAUCAGGAGGAACACCUGUGGUGUAGACGGCUUUUCUGGACCAUAGCUGACGCUGAGACACGAAAAGCGUGGGUAGCAAACAGG